CAGCUUCUCCGACGCAAGCAAAUUUUUGCACCAACAGGAUUGGCGCUAGAGGAAGGGCUGUCUUCGCAGUACCCUUGUUCUUAAAGGAGUGCUCAACGGAUCUGCUUCCGGCCAUCUUUUUCGGCACCCAAUCCUCCUUCCCUCAUCUGAUGCCUUCUCGCGAGGUCUCUGCACAACUACCUCCGGCUAUGGUCGUCGAUAAGGGGUGGC
rnacentral:lncRNA from 1 species